rnacentral:pre_miRNA from 1 species
CGGGGGAGGCCGGAUCCUGGGCUGUGUCCCGGCGCCCUGUGCUCCGGUGCCUGCGCUGUUGGAUUUGCUCCCGGCCCGCAGCCCCCU